AUGUCCUACACCCUCUGUACUGGAUCUACCAGGGAGGGGCUCAGCGGUUCUGAUCCAUAUGGGUUUAUGCUAAAGGGUGCUGGAUCCUAUCAGGUCCCUGUGUCCCAUUCCUUGUUACAGAGUGAGGAGCCAAUACAGACAGGUUUCCCCCAGAAGGCUGUGAUCACCCAAGAGCCGAGAUCCAUUAUUAUCGGAACCGGUUCUGCUGCCCUGAUGAGAUGUGAGCAGGAGACGACAGACUAUGAAUGGAUGUUCUGGUACCGACAGCGAGAGGGGCAGGGGGUGCAACUGGUAUCCACGCAGCUCCGGGGCGACCAACCCACGUAUGAAGAGGGGUACAGAACCGGGUUCCACGUGAACAGAACCGCGAGGGACAAGAUCAGUUUCCUGGAGAUCCAAGUCCCAAAGCGCCAGGAUCAGGGGGUGUAUCUGUGUGCGGCCAGUGAUGGCACAGUGACUCGCCCCAACCGGGGCUCUUUCUACUAA